GUGGGGAAUAUUGGACAAUGGGCGAAAGCCUGAUCCAGCCAUGCCGCGUGUGUGAAGAAGGUCUUCGGAUUGUAAAGCACUUUAAGUUGGGAGGAAGGGCAGUAAGUUAAUACCUUGCUGUUUUGACGUUACCAACAGAAUAAGCACCGGCUAACUUCGUGCCAGCAGCCGCGGUAAUACGAAGGGUGCAAGCGUUAAUCGGAAUUACUGGGCGUAAAGCGCGCGUAGGUGGUUCAGCAAGUUGAAGGUGAAAUCCCCGGGCUCAACCUGGGAACUGCCUCCAAAACUACUGAGCUAGAGUACGGUAGAGGGUAGUGGAAUUUCCUGUGUAGCGGUGAAAUGCGUAGAUAUAGGAAGGAACACCAGUGGCGAAGGCGACUACCUGGACUGAUACUGACACUGAGGUGCGAAAGCGUGGGGAGCAAACAGGAUUAGAAACCCGUGUAGUCC
rnacentral:rRNA from 1 species